GAUGAACGCUGGCGGCGUGCCUAAUACAUGCAAGUCGAGCGAACAGACGAGGAGCUUGCUCCUCUGACGUUAGCGGCGGACGGGUGAGUAACACGUGGAUAACCUACCUAUAAGACUGGGAUAACUUCGGGAAACCGGAGCUAAUACCGGAUAAUAUAUUGAACCGCAUGGUUCAAUAGUGACAGACGGUUUUGCUGUCACUUAUAGAUGGAUCCGCGCCGCAUUAGCUAGUUGGUAAGGUAACGGCUUACCAAGGCAACGAUGCGUAUCCGACCUGAGAGGGUGAUCCGCCACACUGGAACUGAGACACGGUCCAGACUCCUACGGGAGGCAGCAGUAGGGAAUCUUCCGCAAUGGGCGAAAGCCUGACGGAGCAACGCCGCGUGAGUGAUGAAGGUCUUCGGAUCGUAAAACUCUGUUAUUAGGGAAGAACAAAUGUGUAAGUAACUAUGCACGUCUUGACGGUACCUAAUCAGAAAGCCACGGCUAACUACGUG
rnacentral:rRNA from 1 species